ACACACACACACACACACACACACACAAGCGCGCGCGCGCGCGCGCACACACUCCUUCUCUGCUUGUUAGAGAGGAAUAAGUCGUGUUUUCGCCAACCUGCCGAAUCAACCCCGGAGCGGGACGAAAAAAGUGCUUGACGGGGUCAAGGUCGCAUCGGUCUACAAGAUGAUUCAAGCAUUUAACUCGUUCAGUAAAUAUUUAGUCAACAAUAAAGCACUGACUAGAGUGAGGUGGCAGCCAGAGAGCAAAAAAAAUGGGGAGAAAUGUAAGUACCAUUCCGCUGCAUGCUGUGAUGUGCAUGAUUCAACUAGAUUAAUCCAAAUUCCGCAGCUCUCUCUAGAUUCGGAAUAAAGUUGUGUUUUAAUGCAAGGAAUAAUUUUUGCAUGUGAGAUUUCUCGCGAAACCUUCUUUGCAACAGCCGGCAAAAAUAAAAUUAAGUUCAGUGCUUGCAUUUGCCAUCCUUUACAUUUGAGGCUGGAAAGCUGGAGAUCGGAGUGCAGAUGUAUUCAGAUGUAAACCAAUUGUAUUUCCGGGGAACACCAUGCUGUGAUGUUACCGAGGAAAAAUCUCCAGUCGGUUUAAUAAACUGCUGAACAGGAAGAGAACACAGAAGCCUUGUCAGCAUCAGCAGCUUCACAAAUAGAGUGACUAAGUCUUUAGAAUGGAUAUAAUUCAUAUAAUUUGUCCCUUAAGCAGGUUUCCGGUCACUUUUAUAUUCAGGAUCUGAAUGUAAUGUUCUUUCUUAGCAUUAAGAAGCGGUAGAAAUUCUUCUUUUCUGAAGCUAAAGGUGAUGACAUAAUCGUGAGGAAGAAUCUGAAGAGCUAAACAUAUUGAGCAAUCAUUCAAGGAAGGAAAGUAAUUCUAGAUUUAAUCACCAAACUUUUAGAUUUCCAAAGUUAUUAAAAAAUAUACAAUAAAUUGAUACAUCACUUGGCCUCUUCGGUGGAUGUGUACCUCACCUGUUUUGUUAUUAAAGACUGUUCCAGGAUCGCUUGUUUGAAUAUAUUUUAAUCUGCAUAGGACAUAUUUAAUGCAAACCAAGAAGACUAACCACGUUCACAGGACAGCAUUGUUCGCCAUAUCAUUUUGUAAGUAUCAUGUCUCCAGCGUCCAAAACAUCCACCGUCCAAACGAGCCAUUUAAUAUUGGUUAUUGAAAGAUGCAUAUGCAGAAGCAAUGCGAAUAAGUGCAGAAUAAGCAGAAUACACAGACGUGUACACCAGACCAACACGAUAGCUGUGUUUUGUUGUUUGCCUCAGAUUCUCAGAACAAUUGAAAUGCAGUUCAUUUCUCUCGCGGGCGGGACAAAUGAUUUCAUACAGAGCAA